rnacentral:tRNA from 1 species
UCCCAGAUGACUCAGUGGUAAAGAAUCUGCCUGCCAUGCAGGAGAUUGGGGUUCAAUUCCUGGGUUGGGAA